CCGUGUUCUGUGACUGACUCGGCUGGCACCCGCCGGUCUGUCACAGAACACGGGA
rfam:Acyrthosiphon pisum strain LSR1 Contig24490, whole genome shotgun sequence.